GACGAACGCUGGCGGCGUGCUUAACACAUGCAAGUCGAACGGUAAGGCCCUUCGGGGUACACGAGUGGCGAACGGGUGAGUAACACGUGGGUGAUCUGCCCUUCACUUCGGGAUAAGACUUGGAAACUGGGUCUUAUAACGGAUAGGACCAUGCGUUUCACGCUGUGUGGUGGAAAGCAUUUGCGGUGUGGGAUGGGCCCGCGGCCUAUCUGCUUGUUGGUGGGUUAAUGGCCUACAAAGGCGACGACGGGUAGCCGGCCUGAGAGGGAGACCGGCCACAAUGGGAAUAAGAUACAGCCCAGAAUCCUACGGGAGGCAGCAGAGGGGAAUAUUGCACAAUGGGGGCAAAGCUGAUGCAGCGACGCCGCGUGAGGGAUGACGGCCUUCGGGUUGUAAUCCUCUUUCAGUAGGGACGAAGCGCAAGUGACGGUAGCUACAGAAGAAGGACCGGCCAACUACGUGCCAGCCGCCGCCGUAA
rnacentral:rRNA from 1 species